rnacentral:sRNA from 1 species
GUCCGGGUACUGGCCGGUGAACAGCGUGGGACGGCUCGGCACGCA